GACGAACGCUGGCGGCGUGCCUAAUACAUGCAAGUUGAGCGCUGAAGGUUGGUACUUGUACCAACUGGAUGAGCAGCGAACGGGUGAGUAACGCGUGGGGAAUCUGCCUUUGAGCGGGGGACAACAUUUGGAAACGAAUGCUAAUACCGCAUAAAAACUUUAAACACAAGUUUUAAGUUUGAAAGAUGCAAUUGCAUCACUCAAAGAUGAUCCCGCGUUGUAUUAGCUAGUUUGGUGAGGUAAAGGCUCACCAAGGCGAUGAUACAUAGCCGACCUGAGAGGGUGAUCGGCCACAUUGGGACUGAGACACGGCCCAAACUCCUACGGGAGGCAGCAGUAGGGAAUCUUCGGCAAUGGACGAAAGUCUGACCGAGCAACGCCGCGUGAGUGAAGAAGGUUUUCGGAUCGUAAAACUCUGUUGGUAGAGAAGAACGUUGGUGAGAGUGGAAAGCUCAUCAAGUGACGGUAACUACCCAGAAAGGGACGGCUAACUACGUG
rnacentral:rRNA from 1 species